GGGGUUGUGGCUCAGCGGUAGAGUGUUCGCCUACCAUGUGCAAGGCUCUGGGUUCGAUCCUCAUAACCACA
rnacentral:tRNA from 1 species